CCUACGGGAGGCUGCAGUAGGGAAUCUUCCACAAUGGGCGAAAGCCUGAUGGAGCAACGCCGCGUGGGUGAAGAAGGUCUUCUGAUCGUAAAACCCUGUUGUUAGAGAAGAAAGUUCGUGAGAGUAACUGUUCACGUUUCGACGGUAUCUAACCAGAAAGCCACGGCUAACUACGUGCCAGCAGCCGCGGUAAUACGUAGGUGGCAAGCGUUAUCCGGAUUUAUUGGGCGUAAAGGGAACGCAGGCGGUCUUUUAAGUCUGAUGUGAAAGCCUUCGGCUUAACCGGAGUAGUGCAUUGGAAACUGGGAGACUUGAGUGCAGAAGAGGAGAGUGGAACUCCAGGUGUAGCGGUGAAAUGCGUAGAUAUAUGGAAGAACACCAGUGGCGAAAGCGGCUCUCUGGACUGUAACUGACGCUGAGGUUCGAAAGCGUGGGUAGCAAACAGGAUUUGAUACCCUGGUAGUC
rnacentral:rRNA from 1 species